rnacentral:lncRNA from 1 species
CUUUUGUGCAGGCAUCUCGCUGUCUGCGCUGGGCACGGAGCGGCGCGCGCGCGCCCGUCUUUCCCUCGGCGGCCCCCGCGGCUCGGACCCGGGCCGGCAGACAGGCCAUCCAUCAUCCGCCCUCCUCCCGCGGAGCGCCGCAGCCGCCGCGGCCAAUCCGGCGGCAGGUGGGGCCGCACCUGCGCGACAGCCCGCCGCUUCCCUCCGCUCCCUUCGCCGCGCCUCGCGUGCUAGCGGUGCCCUUGUGAGCCACUGCGUUCUCCAAGGCCAGAACGGGACAGUUGACGAUGGUCGUACUUCUCCAUGUUCUGAGACCAGUUUAAACAAAAACAAAAACCAGACAACAACCUUGCAAGGGAAAGAAUUCAGAGUAAAUAAACAGUCUUUUUCUGGGAAGUAAAAUAUUUCCCUAAGAUGGAGAAAUUGAGAUGAGAGCUCAUCCACAAGAUUACCCAUCAAUGAGCACCAAUAGCAACCAAAUCCACUAGAAGACUGGGAGCUUUUAAGUCAAGAAACUUACAUCAGUAUCAUCAUUCCAAGAAGCGGUAUCCAAGCUGUUUUAUCGAAAGUGCGCAUGGGAGGUAAGAGUUGGGAA